UGCCUGUUGUCCUCACCUGGAGCCUCAUCUACAAAGGCUGCGUACACACAAAAACGUGGCGUCCGUCCGUCUCCACGCUAACAUUCACAUGUAUCAAAAGUGAAAUGACUGUAGAA